rnacentral:rRNA from 1 species
AAGUCGAACGAAAAGACGGAAAGAGCUUGCUCUUUUCAGAAUUGAGUGGCAAACGGGUGAGUAACACGUAAACAACCUGCCUUCAGGAUGGGGACAACAGACGGAAACGACUGCUAAUACCGCAUAAGCCCACGGUACCGCAUGGUACUGAGGGAAAAGGAUUUAUUCGCUUUAGGAUGGACUCGCGUCCAAUUAGCUAGUUGGUGAGGUAACGGCCCACCAAGGCGACGAUUGGUAGCCGGACUGAGAGGUUGAACGGCCACAUUGGGACUGAGACACGGCCCAGACUCC